AUAUAAACCAGGUGCUUCAAAUCCUGAAUGCUGAUUGGCUUAUUGCCGUGGUAUAUAAGCUCUUAUACCACAGGUAUGACAUCACAUAACAUUUUACUUCUCUAAUUGCAUUGGUGACUCAUUUAUAAUCGCAAUAAGGCAUGUCUGGGGAUAUUGGUAUUUGGCUAACAAACCGCAACUAAGCGCUUGGUCCAGACACUCCAUGAGGCAUCGUGCCUAAGAACAGUUCUUAGCCAUGGUAUAGUGGCCAUAUACCAGACCCCCUUGUGCCUUAUUGUUUUAAAUGUAUACCAUAUUUAUAUACAUACUACAUAUAUAUGUAUGUAUAUUGUAAAUUGAGAACAAAAUGCUUGUUCAAGUACAUUUUCUUUUAGGAAAGUCCAGAAAAACAUUGCCAAGAAGAAUCAGGUAGUCAUUCUUUGUAUCAUUGUGUGUUUAACAAUUACAGUAUUCUGGUAGGACAUAUAUUUACAUGGACAACAGUAACCUCCACUGAGCUGGGUCAAACAACACCAGGUCCUGCAUCCGUUUCUACAGUAACCUAUUACCUGGGGGUUGUGAACUCCACACCCUCAUCCUUCAUCAUACGAGAUGAAUGGUGAUUGUACAUUUGCUCUGCUUUGACAUUAAUAGACUUUGUGGAGAGUAGGUAGACUCAAUUUCGCAAGACACUGAAAAACACCAAUAUGGAGAGAAGGAUCUGGCAUUUCAUUAGUUAAAUGAUGCUGAACAUUGUUUACUCACCCUUCCGUGACAAGAAGGAGACCUGUGACUAACGUAGACAAACCUCAGGCUGGUCUAGGACAAGAGCCUCCGACACACUCAUGUAAAAAAGGUAAUAUACAAUUUCCUGUAUUUAUGUAACCAUGGUUGUCUGAAGCUCAACCUUCAGUGGCGGUGCAAUUGUUCUUGAUUAUGCUGUACAAAAUGUGUUCAAGGGUUCAUUUCCUGUGUGCUACGAUGUGAAACUGACAGAUUCAAAAAGACAUAAACAUGAUUCAGUAGGAUGGCAAUCUCUUUGUGUUGUCACUUUAGCUUGCUCGUGUGAUAUCUGGAAAUGUAUUGUUAGGUUUCAUCUUUGAUGUUAUUGUUUUCAUCACCUCCACUGCCAUCUUGAAUGUCGAGUAUCUUUGAUCGUCGAGUACCAUCACGCACUGCAGUAUUUGGAAAAGCUGAAGUAUUCUUUGUCUUCGCUAUUAUGAAAAUGUCCACAUCCCUACUGUUUAUGACGUGUACAAUUUGUAUAUUAUAAAAUGAUUUCUAUUAAUGUUCGCCUAUGGUGGGGGUUUUUCUAGGUGAAUUAAAGAUAAAUGUGUUUUGUUACCUUUGGGGUCAUUCUUCAAAUUAAUUGAUUACCAAAGUCUACAUAGUUCCCUCAUACGUGGUCUUUUUAUUUUCAAGUUGACUGUAAAGUUUUAAUUCAAACUUCAAAUUUUCG
ensembl:lncRNA